UCUUACCGGGUCCGGACACACUGAGGAUUGACAGGUUUCGAGAGUUUUUUUGGAGUUCGCUCCAGAAUGCUCUCUUAAAUAUGCUAGUCCUUUCAUGAUUAUGUGAUAGGUGGUGCAUGGCCGUUCUUAGUUCGUGGAGUGAUCUGUCUGCUUAAUUGCGUUUCACUAAAGGCGUCAUUAUAUUUUUGUGCUUGUGUUUGACCCCUCUUUCUUCGGAUUGAGCGCGUGUCUUUCACACACAAUUACUUUGACGUCUGAAAGCAACGAACGUGACCGUAACCUCUUGUUGCCUUCUCUUCUCUUCGGAGAAUGCUAGUUUUUUUCUUCGGAUAAAUUCUAGUAUAUGGAGGCUUUUACUCAAACUAGAGGGACCGCUGUUACUUUCUUUAAACCAGAGGAAGGUUGCGGCAAUAACAGGUCUGUGAUGC
rnacentral:rRNA from 1 species